UACGUAGGCAGCAAGCGUUGUUCGGAAUUACUGGGCGUAAAGAGUGUGUAGGCGGUGCUCCAAGUCUGGUGUGAAAUCUCCCGGCUUAACUGGGAGGGUGCAUUAGAAACUGGAAUGCUAGAGGAUGGGAGAGGUAAGCGGAAUUCCUGGUGUAGCGGUGAAAUGCGUAGAUAUCAGGAGGAACACCUGUGGUGUAGACAGCUUACUGGACCAUUUCUGACGCUGAGACACAAAGCGUGGGUUAGCAAACAGG
rnacentral:rRNA from 1 species